CCUCUCGCGUCAGGAUAUGCCUAGGUGGGAUUAGCUAGUUGGUGAGGUAAGGGCUCACCAAGGCGACGAUCCCUAGCUGGUCUGAGAGGAUGAUCAGCCACACUGGAACUGAGACACGGUCCAGACUCCUACGGGAGGCAGCAGUGGGGAAUAUUGCACAAUGGGCGCAAGCCUGAUGCAGCCAUGCCGCGUGUGUGAAGAAGGCCUUCGGGUUGUAAAGCACUUUCAGUCGUGAGGAAGGUGGUUUCGUUAAUAGCGUCUUGAUUUGACGUUAGCGACAGAAGAAGCACCGGCUAACUCCGUGCCAGCAGCCGCGGUAAUACGGAGGGUGCGAGCGUUAAUCGGAAUUACUGGGCGUAAAGCGCAUGCAGGUGGUUUGUUAAGUCAGAUGUGAAAGCCCGGGGCUCAACCUCGGAAUAGCAUUUGAAACUGGCAGACUAGAGUACUGUAGAGGGGGGUAGAAUUUCAGGUGUAGCGGUGAAAUGCGUAGAGAUCUGAAGGAAUACCGGUGGCGAAGGCGGCCCCCUGGACAGAUACUGACACUCAGAUGCGAAAGCGUGGGGAGCAAACAGGAUUAGAUACCCUGGUAGUCCACGCCGUAAACGAUGUCUACUUGGAGGUUGUGGCCUUGAGCCGUGGCUUUCGGAGCUAACGCGUUAAGUAGACCGCCUGGGGAGUACGGUCGCAAGAUUAAAACUCAAAUGAAUUGACGGGGGCCCGCACAAGCGGUGGAGCAUGUGGUUUAAUUCGAUGCAACGCGAAGAACCUUACCUACUCUUGACAUCCAGAGAACUUUUCAGAGAUGAAUUGGUGCCUUCGGGAACUCUGAGACAGGUGCUGCAUGGCUGUCGUCAGCUCGUGUUGUGAAAUGUUGGGUUAAGUCCCGCAACGAGCGCAACCCUUAUCCUUGUUUGCCAGCGAGUAAUGUCGGGAACUCCAGGGAGACUGCCGGUGAUAAACCGGAGGAAGGUGGGGACGACGUCAAGUCAUCAUGGCCCUUACGAGUAGGGCUACACACGUGCUACAAUGGCGCAUACAGAGGGCGGCCAACUUGCGAAAGUGAGCGAAUCCCAAAAAGUGCGUCGUAGUCCGGAUUGGAGUCUGCAACUCGACUCCAUGAAGUCGGAAUCGCUAGUAAUCGUGGAUCAGAAUGCCACGGUGAAUACGUUCCCGGGCCUUGUACACACCGCCCGUCACACCAUGGGAGUGGGCUGCAAAAGAAGUAGGUAGUUUAACCUUCGGGGGGACGCUUACCACUUUGUGGUUCAUGACUGGGGUGAAGUCGUACA
rnacentral:rRNA from 1 species